rnacentral:rRNA from 1 species
CGUAGGGUGCAGGCGUUAAUCGGAAUUACUGGGCGUAAAGCGUGCGCAGGCGGUUUCUUAAGUCAGAUGUGAAAGCCCCGGGCUUAACCUGGGAACUGCGUUUGAAACUGGGAGACUUGAGUGUGGCAGAGGGGGGUGGAAUUCCGCGUGUAGCAGUGAAAUGCGUAGAUAUGCGGAGGAACACCGAUGGCGAAGGCAAUCCCCUGGGCCUGCACUGACGCUCAUGCACGAAAGCGUGGGGAGCAAACAGG